AACUUCAAAAUCACAUCACAUAACACACGUGAAACAUAACCAACCUCUUUCACGCCCCCAAAUUACUGCAAUUAAUUAUUAAUCUUCUUUUUUGCGCCAUUUUUUCUCGAUCAUGUUUAUGCUCCAUUUUCUACCUUCGAUCUAAACUCCAAAAUCAUCCCUAUCCGUUGAUCUUCAACUGAAUCAUAAUUCAUCCCUUCUUCUCUGUUAUUCUGCGCAUUAACAGGGUUUUAUAAGGAGUUAGAGAUUUGUGAUGGAUAUUGAGGGAGAAAAGAAGAUGUUGGACGUUGGGGUGUAUGAAGAGAGUGUUGGGAGGUAUAAUGAGUUGAAGAAUUCGGAAGGAGACGAGGUUUUUGAGGAGGCUAUAGAUCCGGUUAAACAUUUCAAUGAUCAGGUUGAUGCUAAUAUUGGUGAAGGUGAUGUUGCUGAUACUGUUAGUGCAUUGGUUGAUGAAAUUCGUGAUAACACGGAUGAACUUGAUAACUUUCAUGAGGCAGUUGAGGUUGCUGAUGCGAGCGUUGGAGUUUUGAAGGAUGAAAAGGAAGUUGAAGUGGUUGCUGAUCGGGAUGUGCUUGAGGAUCGGUGUUUGGAAAGUAGUAGUGAUUUUAGUGGUGGAAAGGAAGUAACUGAUUUAGACACUGAUGGGAGCGUGGUUUUUCAGGAGGCUAGAGGCUUGGUGAAAGGAAACUCUGGUUUGUUGAGUGGGAAGGAUGAAAAUGAGGAUCUUGAAUUCAUGACUCCUAAACAAAAUGGUGGUAUGCUUUUUGUAAAUGGGAGCACAGACAAAAUGGAUUAUGAUGUUACUGAGUUUCGUACAGAAUCUGGAUCUGAUGAGGAUAUGAGAAACCAGGGUGCUGAUGCUGGGUAUUUGAAAGAUGGUGGCUUGGAUCCCAAUCUCCGGGAUGAAAAAAUAGAGGAACAGUGUAAUGCUUCCGGUGAUACUUAUGGUGAAAUUCAAAAUGAUUCAUAUGAUAAUGCACACAAACAUUCAGCUAACAUGGAUUUAGAACCUAAUGGUGAAGUGUUUAUAGAAAUGGAUGAUGAGAUAAUUGGCACUGAUAUUAGCCACGGGGAUAUGAAUGGAAAAGAAAUGGGAAUAUCUGAUAUUCAGAAGACUGAAUGCAAAGAUUAUGGUAAUGAUGAAACUAAGGAUGAUGAUGUUGGAUCAAGUUCAGAGCAUCUGGAAACAAUUGGUGAAACAGGAGUUUUUUCUCCGGUCGUAGAUGAAAGGAAAGUGAUUGAAACUGCUGGAAUCCCAUCCCUAUCAGAAAAUUCUUUGGCUACUGAGAUGCUGGCUGUGCAGACUACUCCAACUAAUUCAGAAGAAGAAAACAUGAAUGUUUACCGGUCUAAGAUUUCUAAUGGAGAAAGUCAAGGAAAUAAUGAAAACUCAUCUGUUGUUGGGGAACCUAAAAAGAUACUUGAGAAUAAUACAAAAGAGAAACAAAUGACCCAGAUCACCGAAGAACAGAAUAGUGAGUUUGUUUCCUCAUCUGGAAAGUCUGUUGCUACUAGCACCCCUCUUGUUCAUCCUGCUGGCCUUGGAUCUGCAGCUCCAUUAUUGAAACCUGCUCCCCGAGUAGUGCAGCAGUCGCGUGCGAAUCAUAAUGUAUCUAAUACACAGUCCCAAAAAAUGGAAGACUCCUCAACUGUGGAGGCUGAGGAGUAUGACGAGACUCGAGAAAAACUUCAAAUGAUUAGGGUGAAGUUUUUGCGGCUAGCUAGUAGGUUCGGGCAGACUCCCCAUAAUGUUGUUGUAGCACAAGUUUUGUAUAGAUUAGGACUGGCUGAACAGCUCAGAGGGAGGAAUGGGGGCCGUGUUGGCGCUUUUAGCUUUGAUCGUGCAAGUGCAAUGGCCGAGCAACUCGAAUCAGCGGGUCAAGAACCACUUGAUUUCUCUUGUACAAUAAUGAUUAUUGGAAAGACAGGAGUUGGAAAAAGUGCAACUAUCAAUUCUAUCUUUGAUGAAGUUAAAUUUAAUACUGAUGCUUUUAAUAUGGGAACAAAAAAGGUUCAGGAUGUUGUGGGAACAGUACAGGGCACUAAAGUCCGAGUCAUUGAUACACCAGGACUUCUACCUUCUUGGUCAGACCAGCGACAUAAUGAGAAGAUCUUGCACUCUGUCAAGCGCUUUAUUAAGAAAUCACCACCUGAUAUUGUGCUGUAUCUUGAUAGAAUAGAUACACCGAGCCGGGAUUUUAGUGAUAUGCCGCUCUUACGCACGAUUACUGACAUUUUUGGACCAUCCAUAUGGUUCAAUGCUAUCGUGGGUUUGACUCAUGCAGCAUCUGCACCACCUGAUGGCCCUAAUGGCACUCCUUCCAGUUAUGACAUGUUUGUCACACAGCGCUCUCAUGUUGUGCAGCAAGCUAUUCGUCAAGCAGCUGGUGAUAUGCGCCUCAUGAAUCCUGUAUCUUUGGUGGAGAACCACUCUGCAUGCAGAAUCGAUACAUCCGGCCAAAGAGUGUUGCCUAAUGGUCUGGUUUGGAAACCACAUCUGUUACUCUUAUCAUUUGCGUCAAAAGUUCUGGCUGAAGCAAAUGCUCUUCUUAAGUUACAAGAGAGUCCGCCGGAAAAGCAUUACACAGCUCGCACGAGAGGGCUCCCAUUACCAUAUCUUCUAUCAUCCCUUUUGCAGUCAAGACCGCAAUUAAAGUUGCCUGAGGAGCAAUUCAGUGAGGAGGACAGUCUCGAUGACGUUCUUGAUGAGCCAUCAGAUUCUGGUGAUGAAACAGACCCUGAUGACUUACCGCCAUUUAAACCUUUGACAAAGGCCCAGAUCAGAAACCUUUCUAGAGCUCAGAAGAAAGCAUAUCUGGAUGAAAUUGAGUACCGAGAAAAGCUUUUUAUGAAGAAACAACUAAAGGAUGAGAAAAAGCAACGAAAGAUAAUGAAGAAAAUGGAAGAAUCGUUAAAAGAUCUGCCAAGUGAUUAUAGUGAAAACGCUGAGGAAGAAAGUGGUGGUGCAGCUUCUGUUCCUGUUCCCAUGCCAGAUAUGUCCUUGCCGGCUUCCUUUGAUUCUGAGACUCCCACUCACCGGUAUCGUUUUCUUGAUUCAUCCAACCAGUGGCUUGUAAGACCUGUCCUAGAAACUCAUGGUUGGGAUCAUGAUGUGGGUUAUGAAGGCUUAAAUGUAGAAAGAUUGUUUGUUGUUAAAAACAAGUUACCCUUGUCUUUUAGUGGUCAAGUUACCAAGGAUAAAAGGGAUGCUAAUGUUCAGAUGGAAAUAGCCAGUUCAGCUAAGUAUGGAGAAGGGAAAGCAACUUCGUUAGGUUUUGAUAUGCAGACGGUUGGAAAAGACUUAGCUUACACAUUACGUAGUGAGACAAAAUUUUGUAAUUUUAGGAGAAAUAAAGCAACUGCGGGUCUCUCAUUUACUCUCUUGGGUGAUGCAUUGUCAGCUGGAGUUAAAGUCGAAGACAAGUUGAUUGCUAAUAAGCAAUUUGAGGUUGUUAUUGCUGGCGGUGCAAUGACAGGGCGUGAUGAUGUUGCCUAUGGUGGCAGUUUGGAGGCCCGCUUGAGAGAUAAAAAUUACCCUCUAGGACGCUCUUUAUCAACGCUUGGGCUUUCCGUUAUGGAUUGGCAUGGAGAUCUUGCUGUUGGAUGCAAUUUACAAUCACAAAUUCCCAUUGGACGGUAUACAAACCUUGUUGCGCGAGGCAAUUUGAACAAUCGUGGGGCUGGACAGAUAAGCAUUCGAUUAAAUAGUUCAGAACAGCUUCAAAUUGCUUUGAUUGGUCUCAUCCCUCUACUUAAGAAGAUUGUUGGUUAUUCUCAGCAAUUGGAGUUUGGACAAUGAUGGCGGUGUUAAAUCACGGGAGCUGCAACACCUGCAGAGUAAUAGUAUAUUCCAGGAACAAUUUUCACCAAGCAUUAGAUUCGGUGUGCCCAUAACAAGUCAAUUUUGGAUUUUUUGCCGAACAUCCUAUAUAGGCAUAAUCUUUUACUUUUAUUCAGGCUAGGCCAUUGCUUGAGCUACAAAUAUUUAAAUUGGGCUGAUUUUGGUAUCAUUUUAAAGUUAAAAGGUUAUUGAAUCAUCAUCCAAUUCCAACGAGUGCAAUGUCGAAAUAAGUCUCAUACUAUAGUGCAGUUACCAUUACAAACCCAUGACAUUCUCUCACUUAAAGAGUUGAACUACCUCUUUGAAAAGUUGUUACAGAGAGCUUAAGUAUAAACUGGAGAGAUGCGAGAAAAGUUGUUACAGAGAGCUUUAAGUAUAAACUGGAGAGACACGAAAUCAGUGGUCUAUAUAAGGAGGUACAACACCAAACGAAGAUGCGAGAAAAGUUGUUACAGAGAGCUUUAAGUAUAAACUGGAGAGACACGAAAUCAGUGGUCUAUAUAAGGAGGAUACAACACAACACCAAACGAAGUAUGAAUUUUAGGAAUCAUUGUGUGAAUGUUGAAUAGUUUUCUCUUUUUUCUUUGUAGUUUUGUUUUUACAAGAGAUUGGAUGAUUGUUGUUAAAACUUGUACAUGGAAGACUAGAGUCAAUCUAAGAGACUCAAGAAUUUUUGUUUGAA